rnacentral:rRNA from 1 species
UACGUAGGGGGCAAGCGUUGUCGAGAUCAUUGGGCGUAAAGAGCGUGUAGGCGGCUUGGUAAGUCCGCUGUGAAAGUCCAGGGCUCAACCCUGGAAAGCCGGUGGAAACUGUCAAGCUUGAGUCCGGAAGAGGCGAGUGGAAUUCCUGGUGUAGCGGUGAAAUGCGGCAGAUAUCAAGGAGGAACACCAAUGGCGAAGGCAGCUCGCUGGGACGGUACUGACGCUGAGACGCGAAAGCGUGGGGAGCAAACAGG